AGAUUGAACGCUGGCGGCAGGCCUAACACAUGCAAGUCGAGCGGUAGAGAGGUGCUUGCAUCUCUUGAGAGCGGCGGGCGGGUGAGUAAUGCCUAGGAAUCUGCCUAGUGGUGGGGGAUAACGUUCGGAAACGGACGCUAAUACCGCAUACGUCCUACGGGAGAAAGCGGGGGACCUUCGGGCCUCGCGCCAUUAGAUGAGCCUAGGUCGGAUUAGCUAGUUGGUGAGGUAAUGGCUCACCAAGGCGACGAUCCGUAACUGGUCUGAGAGGAUGAUCAGUCACACUGGAACUGAGACACGGUCCAGACUCCUACGGGAGGCAGCAGUGGGGGAAUAUUAGGACAAUGGGGACGAAAGCCUGAUCCAGCCAUCGCCGCGUGU
rnacentral:rRNA from 1 species